UAGUGGUGCACACCUGUACUCCUCACCCCUUCCUCCCCAACACAGAAAAAGCAGAAAGGACCAAGUCCCCAAAUUAGUGCAGGGGGUCCAGAUGCAUGGGUGGGACUUCUGUGAACUACAUUCGCUUCCUAGCUGUGAAACGGAGCCUCUGAGCGUUAAGCCAUCCCUCAGGACCCUUGAACCAGGCCCGACCCCACGCAGAACCUGCCAGUGGUAAACCUGUCCUGUCAUACUUCUGAGCUGGGCGGGCUCCAGCCCUCCCUCACAGGCCCGAGAGGCCACCGGAGGUAGAACCUUCAGAGCCAGCUCAGCAGGUGACUAAGGGCUAACGAGGCCCCGUCAGUGCACCAGGUGGUCCAGUGAGCCGUGGAGGGAGUGAGCCCAUGAGAGCUGGGUUCCCACGAAGGCUGGGCUUCCACUGGGACUGAGAGACUUUAUUUGCUGAUGACAGCUCCGGGAGCUUUUUGAAUUUGCUUUCCUUCCCUAGCGUUGCAAGGCCACAGCGGCCCCUUGUAAGAGCUCACAGUGAGGCACUCACAUUGUGUCAGCCUUGGGUUUCGCUGGAGGCUCAGCUGUCAGCUGUGGGGUUGGCUCACGUAGCCGUCCCAUCUUCUGCUGUAUAGGAAUUCACAGUGCAGUGGCUCCUGCGGUGACCAGAACAAGAACUGCCACUUGCUAGAAGGAUAGCCCUGGGAGAGAGAUUAGCAUCACUAUUGUGUGGACAAGGAAACCGAGGCACCGAGAAGUCAAGUAAUUUGUCUACAGUUGCACAGCAAGGAAAUAGCAGAAGGGAGACUUUGUUUGUUUGGUUGGUUGGUUGGUUGGUUGGUUUUUGAGACAGAGUCACUCUGUAGCCCAGGCUAGAGUGCAGUAGCACAAUCUUGGCUCACUACAGCCUCCGCCUCCCAGGCUCAAGUCAUCCUAGAAGGGAGAUUUUUAACCCAGGACCUGAGGACACUCUAAUCUGAGUGCUCUCUGAGGUCUCCCAGAAGGGAGGAAUUCUGUGGUACAUUCAUGAUGUGACCAGAGAGAGGAUGGCGCCUAUGAAGAAGACAGAGGUACCACACUGACCCUGCGUGCAGCCGUCUCUGGGGAAGGCAGUAUGCAGAAGAGAAAGCCAGAGGCCCCAGGUCAGAAGUGUCAGGCACGGAAACAGGCAACCCUUUCUUGGGAAGGAAGGGCUAAGGCACAGGGCAGUGAGGCCAGCACGGAGGGGCCGCUCACCAGCCCCGGGCCUCCAGGGAUAGCAAACACGCAGCCAUCUCUGCCCAGCCCUGCCUGUGAAGCGACCUCCACAGAUCCGCAGGCUGGAGCCAAGGCGUGCAUUCCUUGAGUGGGGUUUCAGCUGCAAAUUCUACACCCUUUGUCCACUGUUUAACGAAAAUGUGACAUGUCUUGCCCUCAGUCCAGCGCUUUCUCACCCCCAAUACCAUCCUACCAUCCUCAAAGGGAGCCGUUGUGAGGAGCCCAGUUUCUGUCUAUCCAGGUGUACAUUUACCUCUGUGUCUGCAGACACAUUCUAUUAGAAGCAAACAAUGGAUUACGCUUUAA